AGCCAGACCUGUAAGAAGGGAAUUGCUUCCACCACGGGGAAAUUAUGUCCCCAUGUAAGACACAAGCUGACAGCUCCUAGUUUGCCUGGCCAUUAGCAGAACCAUUGCUCCUGCAGAAAUGCAAGUCAUGAUACAGAAUACCUUUGUGAGAAAUCCAGAAUGCAAUCGAUAAUGAUGCCACAUGCCUUUUCCAGGUCUCCAUCACAGCCACCAGAAGCAGAAGGUGCUGGAAGAUACCACUGAUAGAUAGCCCAGUAAUGGAAAUCCUGCCUGCAGUAUUGAAAAGAAGUACUACUGUGAGCACACACAAAAAAAAGGAAAACAGCCUGCAGGAGGCGGGGGUUGAGUCACCAGGCAAGCUCCAGGAACAGAGCUGCCCAUCUCAGCAAAGAUGUGUGCAGAGGUGAGCACUCAUCACAGAGAUGCAGACCUGAAGUUUCCAACUCAACCAUGAAACCUACAUAUUCAUAGCUGGAUAAUACUGAUCUGAAAGACUGCAUCUUCAAGCACCAGUGGGAAGUAACUACUACUGCUGCUUUGGCUACCAUUAGCCAUGUUUCAUGAAUAUAGCAGUCAGUUAGGGGUAAUUAUAGCUUGCCUUCUUCCAUACCCUCGUGUUUAGCCUGGUCCACAAUCAGCACCCUCAGUGCAUCCAGCUCAGCCUUCAGCUGCUCAGCAGGCUCUUUGGAAUGGCUGGGUUCCACUUUGGAUUCAUCUGAAGAAACAAGAGGGAAGCCCAACUCAUCACUCUUACAUUCCUCCAGUUCUUACAUUAUCCUUUGUGCAGCGAGUGGGUUUAUAAAACAUAUUCAGCAGUCUCUGCACACCUUUUCUGCAGAAAUCAUUAUGUAUAUGUUUUCCUAGAAAUUGUAACAGAUCUCCCCAAAAAGCUGUCAGCCUGCCACAUACACAGCCUUGUUUUUACAUUCAAAGUGUGCUCCUUGAUUAAUGAUUUAUGAGCUUACGCCUAAUUUCAGAACAAAAUUCAUCUUUUAAAGACAAAAACAACAAAAGAUGUCUCCUUUCAGUUUCCUUUCCAUUUUCUCCAGCUCUCUGCCCCACACGGAAACAUUUGCUGUCCUCUAAAGCCUGGAACCACAGUUUCAAAACACAGAGGGAAACACUGCAAUGCAAACUUCCCACAUCAUCAGCUUCUCCCUCCCCAACCCCAACACCACGUCACGUCUUCAGAUGUUACACACCACCACGGUGCUUUCUUUUGUCUAAAAGAAGGAAAUGAAAUUCCUUUUCCCCACUAGGAACAGAGCCAUAACCCACCCAGUGCAUCUGGUCAGAUGGGAGCACAGUGCUGUGCAUGGGGCAGGAAUAGCUCCACCACCGCCAAGGGAAGCAAACAAGGUUAACGCUGAACUGUUACAAACCUCACUGCGAAACAAGGAGGUGCGAGCAGUGCUGAGUCACCCCUGUGAGCAAGAAGGAGCAGCAGCAAACAGGGCAGGUUUACAGCUGACUAGGAAUCCUAAAGGCUGGGUCAGUGCAGGAGCCCCACAGGCAGACAGGGACGCGGGGGCCACAGGGACAGCAGGCCGGGCAGCGCAGGGUGCAGGGCACAGAGCGGGCUGUACCGCUAGAGGUCACUGGCAACACAGCGACUCCCGCAGCACCCCGCAGCCCAGCGGGAUGCUGCUGAUGCUGCACGAAGCAAUUGCUCAGCUCCGCCGUUGCCAGGACAACCCCCGCAGGCAGACUGCUGCACGUCUGCGAUUGAACAGGACUGCUCGGUCACGUCUCAGAGCUACAGCAUCUCCAGGAGGCUUCAGACAGCCGAGCACGCAGGGCAGCAGCCCAUCACAGAGAACAAUACCACCACUGUGCUCCAGGAAGAAUCCGGUAUAAGCCUGUGCUGGAGAUGAUACCCAUUGUAAGAUGCAAGUGUUUGAAAAAGCCACUUGCUGGAAGAUGGGAUUGAUCAUUAAACACCUAUUGCACCAGCAGUGAGGCUGCAGUGAUGGGAGAUGAAAUUAGACGCCCUCCCUUCCCCCACCAUGCACUGUCACAUACAGCAGCCCAGGGGGACAACGGUGAGGUCAGGCAGCAGCAGAGCCACUGAGGGAUGGGCGCAGCAGAGAAGCCUUCAAGCUGCAAACGCUGAUUCAUGGCAGUGUGCUGGGGCUGGAAUUAAAUCGGCCAGCUCAGGCCUCAUCUGCAGCCUCAGCACUGUGCAGAGCUGCCUACAGACUGCAGAAAUCCCACACGGCAGGACAGGCAGGGGAAGCCACUACAGCAGCAAGCAUCUCAUGCCUCAGUGACACAAAGAGCACACACACAUUUACACAGAAAGACAUAACCAGCAGCCACAUGCUGAAAAUCUUCCAAUGUAUGAGAGCAUCAACACCAAUAUUAACAGUCCUGCAAAGUGAUGCCUCUGCUGCUAGAACUGCACUCCAGGCAAGACGAUUGUUGUCCCAGGUUUCUUCUGUUCAAGACAUCUUAACAAGCUGUGCCAGUUUCUUACCACCAAACAGAUAAGUUGCUCUACCAGCAGAGCCAACACAGACCCAGUUCCUACAGAUGUGUGGCUCUGUAUCUCCCGGUCUCAGUAACCUCAUUUCCUCACACCAUACAGCACCAUUAGAUUAUCCUUUGUUCCUUAAAUUCCUACCAACAGAAUUUGCCAUUAUUUUCCACAUCCCACCAAACAGGAUGGGCAAGAAGUAGCCAGCACUUCCCUGGCUUCAAACAGCACAUGCUGACUAAGUGGCUGAUGUAGGUACCACUUGGCCACUAACUAGCUGGCUAAUUGUUGAGUUCCUCUGCAGCCUGACUUUGGGAACACUGAUCAGGGUCUAUCUGUCCUCUACGCAGGCCUAAUAUUCAUGAAAUCCAGGGUAAGUUUCCAUAUUUAUGACCUUUAAUUCCUCUGCCUUAAAGAUGGAAAAGAUUUAGCAGCAUGCUCAACUUUGGUAGGAAUGGCAGAUGGAUAACUCACACCUCCACAGAAAAGAAGAGCAUAACUGAUGAGAAGAUUGUUGGAUAGACCACCAGUACCUGCACGGAAUUGUGUGUGGAAGACAAGUCUUCAUAGAGCCCCAUAUCUUCUAUAGCAACCUGUGUGAGGUUACACAGACACGGGCACUGUCACUGCACAGCUCAUGUUUUGACAGAUCUACAAGGAUAUCUUUCCAAAGGGACAAUUUUUACUAACCUUG